rnacentral:lncRNA from 1 species
GGAUAAAAUCAAAAUAAGUAAUUUUUUUAUAACUUUUAAAAUCCAAAAUCAUCUGCCUUGAAAAUUGAUCUGCCUAAACAUAAUAACAAAAUCAAAAUAGACUUACUUACGCCACUUCACCUCAUGUGUUAAAUUAAAAAAAAACAUUAAAUGAAAGAUUUUAAAUCUUUGAGGGAGCCAAGAAAAACUCUUACUACUCCUCUCUCCUAUAUACUCAGUCCAAUCAAUAUUCCAAACAAAUAAUUAAAAACUAAUAACAAACUUUAAUGAUAAAACAAAAUAAAUUGAAAGAGUCAUAAAAACAAAUCAUAAAAAAUCCAACUCUCUCUCUAAGCUAAAUCACGAAGCAUCUCUCUAAUUUUGAAACCACAAAACCAAUAAAGGAAAAAAUCAGAACUUGUAAAAAAAAAUCAAAUCAAAACUCAAUUUUUUCUUCUUUCCAAUCUCCAACGCUCUUAUUCCUCUUUCUCUAUAUCUCGCUUCUCAAACAAUCUCAAACCAACCCAAUAGUUCAAUUUGAAGGGACAACAAACAAAAAUCUCCUAAAUCCAAUACCCAGAGAGUCCUUACUCAUACAGUCAAAACGGAUCCAAAAAAAAACUACAACAAAAAAACCUAAUAUAAAAAAUCACCUGCAAAUUGAGGAAAUAUGGAGAGGCACAAACAAGUAAAGAAGAAACAACAUAAAUCAAAUAAGCAAAGAGCGACUCAAACAAACGUGAAAUAACAAUCAAAGCAAGAAUUCAAAAAAACCUCAUCCCAAACAGUCCCCAAAAGCUCGAAAUCAAAAAUCAACAGAGAAAUAAAGAAACUAAAGUCCAAAAAUAAUAAGAAAGGUGACAAACAAAAGAGUUCAAAGGCCAAAAAUGAAAGUAGAAGAAUACCUUUUCAGAUGUUAUUGAAGUGGUGAUAAAUCCCUAGGUAAAGUUCUUCCUCUCUAGCCUCUUUGAUUUCUACUUUUCUUUUAUCUCCUUUUGAUUGUUAGUUACGGUUGUUGUUGUUGCUAGAUGAUGUUAAGCCAUGAAUUCAUGACCCUUUUGUUUAGUGAAAUCUUAUACUUUUCUUCUCUUUUUACUAUUAGUAUGUUUAGGGAUGGUGUGUUUUCUCUGGGUGGCUAGGGUUUUCUUAUCACCUUUUUUUAUAUUUUGGUCUAUCCUCAUCUUAUAGUGUGGAUGUAGGGCUUUGAACUGAUGUUGUUGAUGAAAGUGGAAGGAAUCAAAAUUAUUUUAAUUUUGCUACAUAAAGAUUGUUAAUUUUAAUCAAAGUUCUGUUGUAUUAUGCUUAUGAUAACAUGCAUUUCCACUUUAUUAUGUUUGACUCCUUUGCUGGUGUAUUUCCUACUAAGAACAAACAUGUUAUUGCCUCUGCCCACAAGUUUAACAAGACAAAAACAAAAAAUCUGCUAUGCUCUUACACAUGAAGAGCCAAGUGGGUCAAGUCAAAGAAAAAAUCAGUAAACUUCAAAAGAGGGACCACACAUAAAGAUGCUUUUUUUUUGUAAUUUGGUUAGGUUUAAUGUAAAACAAAAGUAUUAUUUAUUAUAAAUGUAAAACUUAUUAUGCUUGUAAUUUUUUUACUAUUUCAUGAAUUAUAAAUUAAUGUAAAAGGGAAAAGAAAACCUUUUUUUGAAUUUUAAUGUAAACAUAACUUCUACUAAAAAAACCUAAAUAUUUUGAAUUUCUUUAAUCAAAUUAAAUAGAAUAAAAAAUAUAGAUGAAA